UGCAGAGGAGCCAAGCGUUGUCCGGAUUGACUGGGCGUAAAGCGCACGCAGGCGGCACCGCGCGUGGGGUGUGAAAUCUGGCCGCUUAACGGCCAGGCGCCAUCCCAUACGGCGCGUCUGGAGUGAUGCAGAGGUCGAUGGAAUUGCCGGUGUAGUGGUGAAAUGCGUAGAGAUCGGCAGGAACACCCAGGGGGAAACCAGUCGACUGGGCAUCUACUGACGCUGAGGUGCGAGAGCGUGGGGAGCGAACCGG
rnacentral:rRNA from 1 species